rnacentral:tRNA from 1 species
GGCGGGGUAUCCGAACUGGCACAGGAAGGGGCCUUAAAAGCCCUCGGCCGAAAGGCUAUGUGGGUUCGAAUCCCACCCCCGCCACCA